GCCCGGGAGCAGACCCAGCUCUCUGCCCUCGGCGGCGCCGCAGCCGAUGCUCUCCCACAUCCAUCCCCUCGCCCCCUGGAACCAGCACUUGUCCCUCACUGCUGCUGUUACUGCCCUCUCUUUCUCCAUUACAUGUGCUCUACUGUCUUCACAAGACCCAGGCAGACCAUAAGGAAGGCAGCUCUGGACCCCUCGGAUAAAUG